rnacentral:rRNA from 1 species
GCGUGAAGUCGGAAUCGCUAGUAAUCGCGGAUCAGCAUGCCGCGGUGAAUACGUUCCCGGGCCUUGUACACACCGCCCGUCACACCAUGAGAGUCGGGAACACCCGAAGUCCGUAGCCUAACAGCAAUGAGGGCGCGGCCGAAGGUGGGUUCGAUAAUUGGGGUGAAGUCGUAACAAGGUACC